ACUCAAAGGAAUAGACGGGGACCCGCACAAGCGGUGGAUGAUGUGGAUUAAUUCGAUGCAACGCGAAGAACCUUACCUACCCUUGACAUGCCAGGGAGCCCGCUGAGAGGUGGGUGUGCCCGAAAGGGAGCCUGGACACAGGUGCUGCAUGGCUGUCGUCAGCUCGUGUCGUGAGAUGUUGGGUUAAGUCCCGCAACGAGCGCAACCCUUGUCACUAGUUGCUACGGUAACGGGCACUCUAGUGAGACUGCCGGUGACAAACCGGAGGAAGGUGGGGAUGACGUCAAGUCCUCAUGGCCCUUAUGGGUAGGGCUUCACACGUCAUACAAUGGCGCAUACAGAGGGCUGCCAACCCGCGAGGGGGAGCCAAUCCCAGAAAGUGCGUCGUAGUCCGGAUUGCAGUCUGCAACUCGACUGCAUGAAGUCGGAAUCGCUAGUAAUCGCGGAUCAGCAAUGUCGCGGUGAAUACGUUCCCGGGUCUUGCACACACCGCCCGU
rnacentral:rRNA from 1 species